rnacentral:rRNA from 1 species
UAAUACGAAGGACCCAAGCGUUAUCCGGAUUUAUUGGGUUUAAAGGGUGCGUAGGCGGAUUUGUAAGUCAGUGGUGAAAGCCCGUCGCUUAACGGCGGAACUGCCAUUGAUACUGCAAGUCUUGAGUAUGGUUGAGGUGGGCGGAAUGUGUCAUGUAGCGGUGAAAUGCUUAGAUAUGACACAGAACACCGAUUGCGAAGGCAGCUCGCUAAGCCAUAACUGACGCUGAGGCACGAAAGCGUGGGGAGCAAACAGG